UCCCUACCCAAAUCAUAGGGGUGACAAACUUUCUAAAGAGGGCCAAAUAGUAAACAUUUUAAGCUUUGCAGGUGACCUACUUCUCUGUCACAUACAGUUAUUUACUUAUUUAUUUAGAGACAGGGUCUCUUCUGUGGCCCAGGCUGGAGUGCAGUAGUGGGAUCACAGCUCACUGCAGCCUUGAACUCCUGGGCUCUAGUGAUCCUCCUGCCUCAGCCUCCCAAAUAGCUGGGACCACAGGUCCGUACCCCCUUGCCAGGCUAAUUUUAUUUAUUCUUUUAUAGAGAUGAGGUCUUGCUAUGUUGCUCAGGCUGGCCUUGAACUCCUGGUCUCAAGUGAUCCUCCUGCUUUAGCCUCCCAAAGUGCUGAGAUGAUAGUUGUGAGUCACUGUGCCUGGUCACAUAUUUCUUUUUAAAUUAAAUUAAAUUUUUUUUUUUUGAGACGGAGUCUCACUCUGUUGCCCAGGCUGGAGUGCAGUGGCGCCAUCUCAGCUCACUGCAAGCUCCGCCUCCUGGGUUCACGCCAUUCUCCUGCCUCAGCCUCCCGAGUAGCUGGGACUACAGGCGGAUAAACAAAGGAUGAAAUUGUUUUUCUCAUCUCCUCUCUCUCUUCAAUGAAUCCUCUAUGUUGUUAUAAUUAUCUAACACACAAAUAUGAUUAUGUGAUUUUCCUUUUAAGAACUGCUGUGGCUGGGCUUGAUGGCUCACAUCUGUAAUUCCAGUACUUUGGGAGGCCAGGGCGGGAGGAUUGCUUGAGCCCAGGAGUUCAAGACCAGACUUAACGGCAAAAACGGAUGGAAAACGGUUUAACUGCGUGCUUAGAAGGAGAGCAGAGGUUUUCCUAAUCAGCUAGCACUCUCUUCCACAACCUACUUAUUAGUUUGGCCAAUACGGCGAAACCCCAUUUCUACUAAACAUACAAAAAUUAGCCGGGCGUGGUGACGGGUACUUAUAGUCCCAGCUACUCGGGAGGCUGAGGCAGAAGAAUCGCUUGAACCCGGGAGGCGGAGGUUGCAUCGAGCCAAGAUCGCGCCACUGCGCUCCAGCCUGGGUGACAGAGUGCGACUCCGUAUCAAAAAAAAAAAAAAAAAAAAAAAAAAAAAAAGGUAGAUGAGUGAGGAAUCACUGGCUAGUUAGUUAUAUUGGGAAAGACCUAGGGGUCCUGAUUUUAAAAAGGGCUAAAAUGUUGCAGUUGUUUUUUGAAGUUUGCAGUGAGCUGUGAUGGUGUCACUGCACUCCAGCCUGGGUGACAGAGUGAGACCUUGUCUCAAAAUAAAAAUAAAUAAAUAAAUAAAUAAAUAAAUAAAACCCUACAUUUGCGGAAAGGCAAAGUGAGAGACAAAAUACACUGAUGCUGCUGGACAGAAAGGGAUGGGAGGGUUCAGGUCUCACUCCCACAGCAGGUCCUGAUGGUUAUCACUGGACAAUUUGUGUAAAUGACAUAUUAGGAUUUAUGUGAACACUAUUAAAUAUUAUUUUUCUCCUUCCUUCCUCCCUCUUUCUUUUUCCUUCUGUCUUCCCUCCUUCCUUUUUCUUUCUUUCUUUUCUUUCUUUCUCUUUCUUUCUUUCUUUCUUUCUUUCUUUCUUUCUUUCUUUCUUUCUUUCUUUCUUUCUCUUUCUCUUUCUUUCUUUUUCUUUCUUUCUCUUUCCCCUCUCCUUCCUUCCUUCUUUCCUUCCUUCCUCUCUUUUUCUUUCUUUUCUCUCCUUCCUUCUUUCCUUCUUUUGUUUUCUUUCUUUCUUUUUCUUCCUUCCUUUUUUCUUUCCCUUUCUCUCUCCCAUUCCUUCCUUCCUUUUUUCUUUCCCUUUCUCUCUCCCAUUCCUUCCUUCCUUCCCUCCUUCUCUCUCUUUUUCUUUCAUGCUUUCUUUUCUUUCUUUCUCUUUCUCUCACAUUAAAAGAAAGGCCAGUCACUAACUACUCCAGAAAUCAUAUAAAUAGAUUGUUAUGGGCCAGGCGCAGUGGCUCAUGCCUGUAAUCUGCACUUUGGGAGGCCUAGGUGAGAGGAUUGCUUUAACCCAAGACUAUGAGACCAGCCUAGGCAACAUAGAACUUGUCUCUACAAUAAAUAAAUCAAUUAGCCAUGCAAGGUAGUGUGUGCCUGUGAUUCCAGAUACUCAGGAGGCUAAGGCGGGAGGAUUGCUUGAGUCAGGGAGGUUGAGUCUGCUGUGAGCUGUGAUUGUGCCACUGCAUGCCAGCCUGGGUGGCAAAGUGAGUGUGUAUAUAUAUGUAUAUAUAUGUGUAUAUAUAUAUGUGUGUGUAUAUAUAUAUAUAUAUUUUUUUUUUUUAGACAAGAGUCUCUCUCUGUUGCCUAGGCUGGAGUGCAGUGGUGAGAUCUCAGUUCACUGCAACCUCCACCUCCUGUGAACAAUGUUGGGCAGGGGUAUUACAGGACCAACAUGUUUGUAUGCCUGUUGUGCAGAAACAGACCAAUACACCAAGACAGCAGGCUUUGCAGCAGAGAGAGGGUUUGAUGACAGCAGGGAGGCCGAGUGAGCAGAUGGGAGAAGACCCUCAAAUCCAUCUCCCCGAAGAGUUCUAGGCUGAGGUUUUCAAGGGGAUUAUGGGGGGUGAGGGGCUGAAAAACUAUAGUCAUUGAUUGGUUGGGGAAAGGGGGAUGAAAUCAUCAGGAUGUAGAAACUGCAUUCUUCAGUGAGUCAGCUUCUCGUGGGGUCCUUCAGACCAGCUGGCGUCAGUAGUUUCAUCAGUAUGCAUGACCUACAAGAAUAUCUCAAAUGGAAAGCAACGUAGGAGAACCACUUGAACCCGGGAGGUGGAGGUUGCAGUGAGCUGAGACCGCACCACUGCACUCCAGCCUGGCUACAGAGGGAGACUCCAUUACCAAAUAAUAUCUUCCUGUGGUUAAUGAUAUGAGAAACAGAAUGCCUCUCCAGAAACCUUUUCACAUCCCAGAUUCAGAGUUCCUGAGGCAAUGGAAUUGGCUGCUUGUUGCUCAAUUGAAUUGAGGCUCUACAUUAGGAUAAUGAAAAGCUGUAGGCAGUUAGGGAGCAAUUGAAAGCCACUUGUGAAGGCCUGAGGGCCUCCAGGAAUGGGGCCCAUAUUCACUCCAUUCAGUGUAGAAAAAGCAGAAGACCAAACUAUGGAUUUAAUAGGCUUGCCUAGCUUCAAAGAUGAUUAUCAUUACACAAAGAUCAGAGCACUGGUUGGGAAAACAUGGAGCUCUUGUGCACGGGAUGGGGACAUUUGGGUGGAUGCCUCCAAAUAUUUUGAGCUCUCAAACUCUUCUAAGCCCUCAGAGCCUGCAGAG
rnacentral:lncRNA from 10 species